AACGAACGCUGGCGGCAGGCUUAACACAUGCAAGUCGAGCGCCCCGCAAGGGGAGCGGCAGACGGGUGAGUAACGCGUGGGAACGUACCUUUUGGUUCGGAACAACUCCGGGAAACUGGAGCUAAUACCGGAUAAGCCCUAACGGGGAAAGAUUUAUCGCCGAAAGAUCGGCCCGCGUCUGAUUAGCUAGUUGGUGAGGUAACGGCUCACCAAGGCGACGAUCAGUAGCUGGUCUGAGAGGAUGAUCAGCCACACUGGGACUGAGACACGGCCCAGACUCCUACGGGAGGCAGCAGUGGGGAAUAUUGGACAAUGGGCGCAAGCCUGAUCCAGCCAUGCCGCGUGAGUGAUGAGGCCUUAGGGUUGUAAAGCUCUUUUGUCCGGGAAGAUAAUGACUGUACCGGAAGAAUAAGCCCCGGCUAACUUCGUG
rnacentral:rRNA from 1 species